AAUGAACGCUGGCGGCAGGCCUAAAACAUGCAAGUCGAACGCUGUAGCAAUACAGAGUGGCGCACGGGUGAGUAACAUGUGGGAAUAUGCCUUUUGGUACGGAACAACGUCUGGAAACGGACGCUAAUACCGUAUGGUCCCUUCGGGGUAAAGAUUUAUCGCCAAAAGAUUAGCCCGCACUAGAUUAGCUAGUUGGUGAGGUAAGAGCUCACCAAGGCGACGAUCUAUAGCUGGUCUGAGAGGACGAUCAGCCACACUGGGACUGAGGCACGGCCCAGACUCCUACGGGAGGCAGCAGUUAGGAAUAUUGGACAAUGGGCGCAAGCCUGAUCCAGCCAUGCCGCGUGAGUGAUGAAGGCCUUCGGGUUGUAAAACUCUUUAGCCGAUGAAUAUAAUGACUGUAGUCGGAAAAUAAGCCCCGGCUAACUUCGUGCCAGCAGCCGCGGUAACAC
rnacentral:rRNA from 1 species